rnacentral:snRNA from 1 species
AUCCCUUCACGGACAUCCGAUAAAAUUGGAAUGAUACAGAGAAGAUUAGCAUGGCCCCUGCGCAAGGAUGACACUCACAAAUCGAGAAAUGGUCCAAUUUUUU